rnacentral:rRNA from 1 species
GACGAACGCUGGCGGCGUGCUUAACACAUGCAAGUCGAACGGAAAGGCGCGGCGUUUGUGGGGUGCUCGAUUGGGGAACGGGGGAGUAACACGUGAGUAACCUGCCCUUGUCUUUGGGAUAACUUCAGGGAACUGGGGCGAAUACCGGGUAUGAUCUCCUGCUGCACGGGGGGGGUUGGAAAGUUUCGGCUGUGGGGGAUGGACUCGCGGCUUAUCAGCUUGUUGGUGGGGUAGUGGCUUACCAAGGCUUUGACGGGUAGCCGGCCUGAGAGGGUGACCGGCCACAAUGCGCCUGAGAUACGGCGCAGACUGCUACGGGCGGUAGCAGUGGGGAAUAUUGCACAACGAGCGGAAGCCUGAUGCAGCAACGCUGCGUGCGGGAUGCCGGCCUUCGGGUUGUAAACCGCUUUCGCAUGUGACGAAGCGUGCGUGACGGUAAUGGGUAAAGAAGCCCCGGCUAACUACGUG